rnacentral:lncRNA from 1 species
AGUAAAAGCUAAGUAAAUACUCCAAUCUUAAGUAAAAGCAGCGCAAGCAUAAUAUAUUCAGCAUGUGAGACUUGUGUAAACAUUCUUUUGGAAGGGAUAAAAUCCGUAAUUAAUUAUAUUUAAAUAGGGAGAGUUUGGAGUGAAUAUCUUGUUGCUAAAGAGAACAGUUUAACAUUUCUACAUUGCUCAUUAUAGGGAUGGUGCCAAUGGGGAGGCUAGUGGUAGUAUCUGGCACUAUUUGACCCAACUAUUCGGUGUAGGGCAUAUUAGGGACGGCACAAGAGGGAGGCUAGUGGUAGUACCUCGUGCCCCUUCCAACUCCACCGGAUAGGGAGCAAAUAGAAUAUAGAGCAUAGAAAAGUAAAACCGAAAAAUAAAUAAAGAUAAUCAAAAUGN